UAACGUAGGGUGCGAGCGUUGUCCGGAAUUAUUGGGCGUAAAGAGCUUGUAGGUGGCUCGUUGCGUCGGGAGUGAAACCUGCGGCUUAACCGCAGGCCUGCUUCCGAUACGGGCGAGCUAGAGUUCGGCAGGGGGAGACUGGAAUUCCUGGUGUAGCGGUGGAAUGCGCAGAUAUCAGGAGGAACACCGGUGGCGAAGGCGGGUCUCUGGGCCGAUACUGACACUGAGAAGCGAAAGCGUGGGGAGCGAACAGG
rnacentral:rRNA from 1 species